rnacentral:rRNA from 1 species
CAGUAGCCGCGGGAAUACAGAGGGUGCAAGCGUUAAUCGGAAUUACUGGGCGUAAAGCGCGCGUAGGUGGUUUGUUAAGUUGGAUGCGAAAUCCCCGGGCUCAACCUGGGAACUGCAUCCAAAACUGGCAAGCUAGAGUAUGGUAGAGGGUGGUGGAAUUUCCUGUGUAGCGGUGAAAUGCGUAGAUAUAGGAAGGAACACCAGUGGCGAAGGCGACCACCUGGACUGAUACUGACACUGAGGUGCGAAAGCGUGGGGAGCAAACAGGAUUAGAUACCCGUGUAGUCCCUGUCUCUUAUAC